rnacentral:lncRNA from 1 species
GUCUAUUUCAGUGACAUCAGUGAAGGAUUCGAGAACUUUCUUGUGUUGUGAUUUGUAAUACCGGCCUUUUUCUUUGGAUUCUUGAAUCAUUUGAUUGUGGUGCUUUACUAGUGCUCUUCCCAGUCCUGUUUUCUCGUUCUUUCCCAUUUUUUGGUCUCCGGUAUUUCAGCCUCCGGCCAAGUUUGAACCGUUUCUGUUUUCGUUUUGCAGGGUUUGCAGGGUGUUUGAUUGUGUUCUUAAAAGAGAAGACGGUGGGAGAUGAAAACGGUGCGCAGUGGUAAACGUAAGGUCUCACGUGGGAGUGACCUUGGACGGCUGGACCUUAGAGAUACAUGGGCUGGGCCUAAAAGUAUACAGGCUUUAUUUUAUGUUCGGCUAAUGAAGCGCAGGUCCAACAAGAU